AAACCCUGAGGCGUCUUAAAACUGGGUGACCAGCAGCCAGUUUACAAGGAACCGUUUUGCUUUGCAAUCAGUAGUUUUCAAGGGAGCUUUUAAAGCUGAGCUGAAAUAUUUGAAAUGUGGAACACUCUUGACCAUGAAAUAUGUUCUACUUACAUGCCUCAGCCUCUAAAAGUUCUUUGCAUUACAGUCAGGGAUUACAUUCUUCCUGGAGCCAAGCGUGGGGCCAGCUGUGUAAGUAAGGUUGCUUCUGAGCUCUUCUUCUUUUUUAAAUAAUUAAGUGAAAAAAUGGAGCUAGAGAUCUUUUUAUUUUCUUUCAGCUGACUUUUGUGGGAAGAGGAGGAAUGAAAAGCUGUUAGAUUUGUGUUUUGUGUGUGUGUGUGUGUGUGUGUGUGUGACUGCAUAAACGUAACUUCUUCUAAGAUAUAUGGACACUUACGUCUUUCUAUUAGAAUAAUUCUUACUGUAGGAUGAUGAAACACGAUGAAGGAAAAAAAAACAACAACUGUGCUAUCAGAUUGAGAGAAUAGGUUUCUGGAUUUGAAUGCUAAUACUUGGUGCUUCUGCCCAAUGCGUAAUGCAGGACUUCCACGAAUACGCAUGGGAUGGCCACAGAUUAUUAUUAUUAUUAUUAUUUUUUUUUUACAAAAAGCAUCUAUUAGUUCUCUUCAAUCAUUCCUAAACUUCAGAAAGCGCUUGCCAGACUUUUAAUACCUUUCUCUCCGCAUCAAAUUCAACGAGUGGCCACAAGUUAUCAAGCAUCCUUGGCUUUUCAUGGCUCGUCCUCACUAAAUCUAAACUGCAAGUGGAAUCUGGACAUCUGUGUCGUUUCGCUUUUUUCAAACUUCGUUCUUUUAAGACAAACCAUUUCAUGAUGGGGAGAUCUGCGAGGAAAGGGUUACUUUUUCCUCCUGAAGAGGAACCGAACCAGUCUGAGACCGUGACUCAGGAUCCUGGGCCUCAACAGGACCCUGCCGGCCGUGGGCAGGAAAUCCGAGCUCAUCCAAG
rnacentral:lncRNA from 1 species